rnacentral:rRNA from 1 species
GACGAACGCUGGCGGCGUGCCUAAUACAUGCAAGUCGAGCGGACAGAAGGGAACUUGCUCCCGGAAGUCAGCGGCGGACGGGUGAGUAACACGUGGGCAACCUGCCCUGCAGAUUGGGAUAACUCCGGGAAACCGGGGCUAAUACCGAAUAACAUUGGAAACCUCAUGGUUUCCUUUUAAAAGGCGGCUUCGGCUGUCACUGCAGGAUGGGCCCGCGGCGCAUUAGCUAGUUGGUGAGGUAUCGGCUCACCAAGGCGACGAUGCGUAGCCGACCUGAGAGGGUGAUCGGCCACACUGGGACUGAGACACGGCCCAGAAUCCUACGGGAGGCAGCAGUAGGGAAUCUUCCGCAAUGGACGAAAGUCUGACGGAGCAACGCCGCGUGAGUGAAGAAGGUUUUCGGAUCGUAAAACUCUGUUGUCAGGGAAGAACAAGUACGGUAGUAACUGCCCGUACCUUGACGGUACCUGGCCAGAAAGCCACGGCUAACUACGUGCCAGCCGCCGCUGUAACAC